CACGUAGGGGGCAAGCGUUGUCCGGAUUUAUUGGGCGUAAAGAGCUCGUAGGUGGUUCGGUAAGUCAGGUGUGAAACCUCCAGGCUCAACCUGGAGACGCCACUUGAUACUGCUGUGACUGGAGUCCGGUAGGGGAGCGUGGAAUUCCUGGUGUAGCGGUGAAAUGCGCAGAUAUCGGGAGGAACACCGGUGGCGAAGGCGGCAUCCUGGACCAAUAUUGACGCUGAGGAGCGAAAGCCAGGGGAGCAAACGGG
rnacentral:rRNA from 1 species